GAUGGACGCUGGCGGCGUGCCUAAUACAUGCAAGUCGAGCGAACGGACGAGAAGCUUGCUUCUCUGAUGUUAGCGGCGGACGGGUGAGUAACACGUGGAUAACCUACCUAUAAGACUGGGAUAACUUCGGGAAACCGGAGCUAAUACCGGAUAAUAUUUUGAACCGCAUGGUUCAAAAGUGAAAGACGGUCUUGCUGUCACUUAUAGAUGGAUCCGCGCUGCAUUAGCUAGUUGGUAAGGUAACGGCUUACCAAGGCAACGAUGCAUAGCCGACCUGAGAGGGUGAUCGGCCACACUGGAACUGAGACACGGUCCAGACUCCUACGGGAGGCAGCAGUAGGGAAUCUUCCGCAAUGGGCGAAAGCCUGACGGAGCAACGCCGCGUGAGUGAUGAAGGUCUUCGGAUCGUAAAACUCUGUUAUUAGGGAAGAACAUAUGUGUAAGUAACUGUGCACAUCUUGACGGUACCUAAUCAGAAAGCCACGGCUAACUACGUGCCAGCAGCCGCGGUAAUACGUAGGUGGCAAGCGUUAUCCGGAAUUAUUGGGCGUAAAGCGCGCGUAGGCGGUUUUUUAAGUCUGAUGUGAAAGCCCACGGCUCAACCGUGGAGGGUCAUUGGAAACUGGAAAACUUGAGUGCAGAAGAGGAAAGUGGAAUUCCAUGUGUAGCGGUGAAAUGCGCAGAGAUAUGGAGGAACACCAGUGGCGAAGGCGACUUUCUGGUCUGUAACUGACGCUGAUGUGCGAAAGCGUGGGGAUCAAACAGGAUUAGAUACCCUGGUAGUCCACGCCGUAAACGAUGAGUGCUAAGUGUUAGGGGGUUUCCGCCCCUUAGUGCUGCAGCUAACGCAUUAAGCACUCCGCCUGGGGAGUACGACCGCAAGGUUGAAACUCAAAGGAAUUGACGGGGACCCCCACAAGCGGUGGAGCAUGUGGUUUAAUUCGAAGCAACGCGAAGAACCUUACCAAAUCUUGACAUCCUUUGACAACUCUAGAGAUAGAGCCUUCCCCUUCGGGGGACAAAGUGACAGGUGGUGCAUGGUUGUCGUCAGCUCGUGUCGUGAGAUGUUGGGUUAAGUCCCGCAACGAGCGCAACCCUUAAGCUUAGUUGCCAUCAUUAAGUUGGGCACUCUAAGUUGACUGCCGGUGACAAACCGGAGGAAGGUGGGGAUGACGUCAAAUCAUCAUGCCCCUUAUGAUUUGGGCUACACACGUGCUACAAUGGACAAUACAAAGGGCAGCGAAACCGCGAGGUCAAGCAAAUCCCAUAAAGUUGUUCUCAGUUCGGAUUGUAGUCUGCAACUCGACUACAUGAAGCUGGAAUCGCUAGUAAUCGUAGAUCAGCAUGCUACGGUGAAUACGUUCCCGGGUCU
rnacentral:rRNA from 1 species